UGAAUAUCUCCCCUUUGAAGGGGACAUGACACUUCAUGACUGCCCCAUUUAGUCGCCUCUUACGACAGGCAAAGGGUACUGAGGUCCUAUUAUAUACAGGAUCCCCAUGGGAAUGGAGAAGAAGAUGAAAAUGUGAAAACUUAACGACGACGGCGCCGACAGACAACUGGCAAAUUUUGACCAGAAAAGCUCACUUCAGCCUUCGGCUCAGAUUUCAAGUCUUCCAACAGACGGUGUUUCAUGUAACUGAUGCUGUGUCCAAAAAUAUCUUUAGCUUGCAUGGGAUGACCCUCCUCAUCCACAAGAACAGUAUCACUGCGCAGAAUCUAGAGAAAUAUUCCCAAUCAUAUAACAAAGACGUCGGCGUUUUGUAAGUGGCAUGGGAAGGACCAACCAUGUUUGACCAAUGGAGACAACUGAUCCGAAGGGGAUAUUUUUCGAAUUCGUGAGUAAAAGACCACGCUAUUCCAGAGUAGGUCGUACCAAAGUCCAGAGCAGCCACGAGAAGAAUUUCGUCUGCUGUAGCUUUGUCCCCAGAUUUCGUAUGUUUGUCUGAGACGGCGCAUGCAGUAGAGUCGACCGUCUGGUCAGCCAUUUGUCCUUUAUCUGAACGUCACGAAGAAGGGUUGAAAUGGAGAUCAACAUGUACAUUGUAAAUGCAAUGAAUGAAAUCGUACUUAUCGUCAGAUCAUUAUUUUCUUUUAAAUCAGACAUUACACAUCUACUCAUUUGAUUAAUGAAAAUAAAUUUGUGCUGAGGAAAUUGAUACUGGAUAAAAUAGCUAGAUUGUCAAGAUGACACAGGAAAUACAGCACGGUAGGUAGUACAUGUACACAUCAUUAAACAGUAUAAUACUACUCUGUACUCAUUAUUAUACCUUAAUACUGUUGAGCAUACAGAUGAAGUUGUCGUAGAGACAAAUUAUGCUCCUUUUAAAACUUUAUGAAUCAAAGCACCUCGCUCCUCCAAAACGAACCAUUAUUUAACAUUCAAUACAUUUUACAUGUAUGGAAUUUUGUGUAAUUGUCAGAUACAUAUAUUUACAUUGUAGAGAAACUACAGAAAAUAAUAAUCAUAUGAGUCUUUCCUAGCAAAAAGGGCCCUUAAGUAUAUAUUAGUUCUAAAGUAUGAACUAUAGAUAACAUCCCUCAAAAUAUUAGAGUAAUGUUGAUUGUUGUUAAAAUAUUACAGUCAAUGAACGAUGACAACCAACUUGAGAUUGGUAAUCAUGGCCUUUGUCUUUUCAAGUAUGCAAAAAAAUGACGUCACAUUUUUUUUUUUCAUUAUGACGUUUUUUGGAAAACAUUCUUGGGUAAGAUAAGGGUCAUAACGACUGUACAGUUUUCUGCUGAUAAGACAUUAAUUAAUCUAUUUGAUCACGUGGUAAUUUCCAUAAACCCUACCACGUACUCAUAUUGACUUAUUAGCAUUGAUAUAAACUAGACAGUUGCAGGGGUUUCAAAGUCUUAUAUAAAGUCGGUGAAUUCUAUGGUCGUUAUAAUGAUCUUAUUUGCAAAUACAACAUGCCUUUCGGUCGAAUGCUGUCUGACAUGUUGUUAAGCCGUUCUUUACAAACUGGUUAUGAGUAUACGGAUUAUUCCGUCUAUCUGAUCAAGAUAUAGGGCUCACGGCGGGUGUGACGGGUCGACAGAGGAUGCUUACUCCUCCAAGACACCCAAGACACACUCUGAUAUCUCCAUGGGAUCACGUUUACCCUAGUCUCAAUUUUGUAUAAUUGGCAGGAUUAUUUUUUAGAUUUCUGUUUGUUAUCUUCACUUGUUUCAGAAAAAAUUAUUUAUAUUUACAUCAUUAUUGAUUUAUAAAAAUAUCCCUAAGCUUAUAAAUGAAAAGGUGAAGAUAGCGAACAGUGAUCAAUCUCAUACAUGUAACUUCUAUAAGGAAUGUUGGGCAAAAUACGGAUCCCUGGACACAUCAGAGGUAUCAUCAGGUGUCCUGCCGACCGGUGCGAUCAUUGGUAUCCUUUACUUUUCGACGUAGUCACCGCACACUGCACUCACUUCUCACACCUCCUUAACCAUGACUCCAAUACAUUAAUAUACCAUUUACUGUCCUCGGGGAUGAUACUGAAAACUGGGGAUUCGUCAACAUCACAAAAAGAUGCGACCUCUGUCACUGUAAUGCGUCUGGCUCAAACCAAUGUCAUUGAUACGGAAUCUCUUAGUUUCAUUACAUGCUAACAAUACUAACAAUUCAAAACUUGUGAAAUUUUGUAACAUUGUACCCCACGCCGUGAGCGCACUCCGCCACUUGUAAGAUCACAACACAAUUUUUUUUCCAUUUGAUAUUCAAGUGAAAAUAUUCAAAAUCCAUUUAUUUUUAGUUGGAAUUUCAUAACAAAUAUUUUGGUAUACAAUAUGUACAUUUCAAAACGUUUUAAAUGACAAAAAAGCGCCACUGUCCACAUUUGAACAACUCUCGUAUCAUUGGAAAUAAUAAAUAGAUGUUUUAUCGUAAUUUCCAUUGAUACUAGUAGAUAAGAAUGCGCAUGAAAGCCCCCGCCCGGCACCCCUAAUGAUAAGAUAUUUCGUAAUGUUAUCACAGACAAGACAACGGAAACAAGGACGUAUCCAAUAACACCAGAGUUAUGGCUCUUCCAGCAAGGCUAGCUAUCUCAAGCUUUGUAUUUCGUCGUGGAAUUACUCAGAACACGUUUGUAACUCAUGACACUAAAAAAAUUAUUUAAUUGCUCGUUUAAACACUUCUUAGUAAGUAUGAUUUCACCAUCGAAAGAGUUAUAAAAGCACUCAAUUAUUUUAUAUGAAUUUUUUUUUUGGAGAUUAUUCCAAGAAUGAUAAAAGAGGUUAUUGUUUGCAAAUAAGACAUUCUUGAGUCAGAAUUUCAAUGUGAUUUGGUGCAUGAUAUGAAUAUCUAAUAAAACAUGCCUUAAAGAUUGAAGUGUGAACGUUCUAAUUUUUGGCAAAAAAAUAUUUAUGAAAAUUGAAAACACUAUUUGUUAAUACUUUUUUAAAUCUACGGAUAAAAUCUUAAAAAAAAAAAACCAUGUCAGUUUAAAAGAUAUAUAUCGAAGAAAUUUAUUAUAAAAAGAAAUGAAAUGAAAUGACCAAAUUUUAGAUAUAAUCACUAUAUUCAAACUAGAGAAAAAAAGUACUGAUCCCUUUCAAAAUUGAUAGAAAUUACUAAAAUAAUCAUAUUGUUACUAAUUGCAGGCACUGUUCAUCAGGGAAUUAGUUUCCUUUAUAAAUUUGUUUAAUUUGUAAACUAUUUCACAUCAAGGGAAUGUAGAUUUCUGAUUACAAUGUUCUCUAUGACUACUUUUUUAUAAUUCCGAUCGGGCUUGGUUCAAAUUAGAAAAAUCGUAAUAUAUCUGAAUUUUAACCAUUUCAUUUCAAUUUUUUUUUAAAAUACAUUUUUUAUCUAAAACGUUCAAAGGUCUAUCCGAGUCGUUUAGGCAUGUUUUCUUAGAUAUUAAUAUUAUAUAUCAAAUCACAGCGAAAUUUGGACUCUAUAGUAUCUUAUUUGCAAACAAAGUACCUUUUUUGUCAUUCUGGGAUAAAUCACAAAAAAUUCAUAUAAAAUACUUGAGAGCUUGUAUCACUUUUUCGAUGGUGAAAUCAUACUUCAUAAGAGGUGUUUUAAUGAACCAUCAAAUAAAAAUUUAGUGUAAUGAGUUACCUCAAACAACUUGAAGGUAUUGGGAUUAUUCAAACCCCUUCAUCUUUCACCAUUGGUUUAAUCCUGUUAUAAUAAGCAUUAUCAGACUACAAGGAUUAUAGGUUUUUUUUAAUAGCAUGUGAUAAUUACAUGUACGUUAUCUAUUUUUCUAAUUAUAAUAGACAACCAUGUUGAUUUUUGGUAAGAUUGCAUCAUCUUAAUUUCUCGGUAUGAAAUCCUAUUAAAAUCAUAGUUGCAUAUUACACGUAUAAUUGCUACAUAAUUACAUGUAUUUACAAUUAUGUGCUAUUAAAAUUGGAUAUGAUUAACUUUUCAGUUCAACAAUAAUUAAAGUCACGCAUCUACCAAGACGUAAUACACUGCACAUCAUGACUUGUUGGAGAUGAAGGGCAAAGGUGGAUACAUGUAUCUGCAGUGCGCAUCAAUACAUACAAUGAAGAAAUUACACUUGAUGGAGCAGAAUUAAUUACAGAUAAAUAUGACUACAGUAGAAACGUACUACUCUUGCUUAUUUCUUUGAUGAUAGCAAGAUAAUUGGUACUCUGAAUCUUAUGAUAUUUUUUUUUAGAAUAGCCCAUAAAAUUGUUCCCUUUUGAACUGAGACUGCUAAAUAAAUGAUACAUGUAUGAAAAUCAGACUGUCAAAAUAUGUGUAACAAUCAUGUAACAGCAAGAUAUAUUUAUUGUUGUAAUAUGAAUCUCUUCAAUUUUAAUUAAUUUAAGUUGUUUGUAAGUAAAAUACGUCAUGAUCAUGUAGCCUGUGAAGCGCUUUGAAAUGUAGAGCAAUCUAAACGUUUAAAGUGCAGUGUAUGGCUCCCAUGUUUAACAAGGAAUAUGAUAAAUCCACUUUUAAAAAUUAAGAACUUCAAAUAUCAGCAAUACAAUUACAGAUCGAUAAUUGCUAUUUUCUAUAGAAUUUUACAUACAUUGCAACCCUAUCUCACCAAAUAUUUUACGGCUUCAAAUCGACAAUAACGUACAAGUAUAAUGCUAUGUACGUGUAAUUAUUUUCAUGCUUAUCAAAUGUCCCUUUUCCAAACUUUAAUUGAUGUGCUGCUGUCAUUGAUAUUAUUGUUUGUCAGGGAUAGCCUAGUUUUUUGUUUGUGUAUACCUUAUGUCAAUUGUAGGAUAACUAUGGAGCAAAGAAUGAACACUUCACAGAUGAAAUAAUUUUGACCUCAAUGUUAAUGGGGAUGUACAUGUACCAGUUCAAUGUCUGGGAUAUGUAAUAUACAGAUACAGUUUAUCGAAUUGAUUUUGAAGAAAAUUAUGAUACCAUGUAUUUCAUAUUAUAAAAAAUCAUCAACUUUAUAUACUUUGAGAAAAACAAUGAUUAUAAAAAAAAUUCUGGAAUAAUUUCAAACAAUGCAUGCAGGUUGAAAUCUACAAAUUUUUCAUUUAAUGUACAGUGUAUAUGUCCACUCCAGGGGGUCCGUAACUCCCCAGUUGAGGACUAAUGGGGUCUCUGAGGAGAUUGUGCCCUUCAUGAUUUGAAAAUGACACAAUUCCUGCCUUUAAAACUUACUAGAACACAAAUCAUAACGAUACUCACGUCGGUUUGUGGUUCGUUUGUCUACAUCCACCAAACCAGUCUUUCACGAGCUACCAUUGUUGUCAAAUCUUGCUAUGAUAUCGAUCCACUU